AGACGUCCAGUUCUCUUCUCUUCCUGCCCAGCUCUGUCCUGCACUGAUGCUGUCACAGACUGGACACCCAGCUCCAUGUCCAAGCUCCAUCCAACCCAGUCAGCCAGCUCUUGGCCGCCAUACAGGCUUAGGGGCUUGUACCAAAUUAUAUGAAAAGGAAGGAUUUCAGCCCAUGGACCAAACCCAGGAACGUGUUUCCACCUGAACUAAUGUGGAUGGCAGAAGACCUCAAGAAGAAAUUUCUGACUGUCCAUGGGGAGAAGACUGCCCGGAUCACUGUAGAAACCCUAAAUGACCUUCCAAGGAGGAAGUACCCCAAAGCUCCUCGUGUGAU